rnacentral:rRNA from 1 species
GUCCUUUAGAUAAUAAUUAUUUAAGGUCUAACCUGCCCAUUGAUAAGUUAAAAGGCCGCAGUAAUUUGACUGUGCAAAGGUAGCAUAAUCAUUAGUUUUUUAAUUAAAAGCUUGUAUGAAUGGUUGGACGAGAUAAAAUCUGUCUCUUUAUAAAAAAUAGAAUUUAAUUUUUAAGUUAAAAAGCUUAAAUUUUUGUAAAAGACGAGAAGACCCUAUAGAUCUUUAUAUAAUUUUUUUUAAUAUUAAUAAAGAAAAUUUUAUUUAUUAAAAUGAUUUUUAUUUUAUUGGGGUAAUAAAUAGAUUAAUUUAAUUCUUUUUUUUAAUACAAUAAUUAUUGAUUAUAUGAUCCAUUAUUAAUGAUUAUAAGAUUAAGUUACCUUAGGGAUAACAGCGUAAUUUUUUUAGAGAGUUCUUAUCAAUAAAAAAGUUUGCGACCUCGAUGUUGGAUUAAAAGUAAUUCUAGGUGCAGAAGUUUAGAAUUUUGGUCUGUUCGACCAUUAAAUUUUU